CCAUCAAAGUGUGUGUACAGUUGUUAGUGAAGUUCUGUAUUUUUACACACUAUUGUUCAUUUCUAGACUUCCAAAAGAAGAAACAUUUCUGUUACCUGAGAAAAACAGAGAAGCUAAUGCAUGCAGAGAUGCAGCAAAAUGGAUUUCAUGAAAGAAGAAGUUAUGAACAAUGACUGCAAUCAACAGAUAAGGCUGUCAUUUUGUGACUAAAAGUUUCCAGUCCCUUAUCAAGUGACACUUCUCUUCUUCAAUUACCAAUGCUCAGUCAACCUUGCCUCAGAGAUUUGUUUGCUAUGUUACUUGGAACCCCGACACUCUCAUUUGAGAAGUGAUGAGGAAUUAGAUAUAGAUCAA